rnacentral:snRNA from 1 species
AUACCUUUCUCGGCCUUUUGGCUAAGAUCAAGUGUAGUAUCUGUUCUUAUCAGUUUAAUAUCUGAUACGUGGGCCAUCGGUUCACAGGAUAUUAAAUUAAUUUUUCUUGGGGGUGGGCCCUUAACAGUAGCUGGCUACUGGGGUCUUCGCGCGUCUCUCUUUCUUUGCACUACUGCACGGGCCUGGCGCACCUCUA